UACGUAGGGGGCAAGCGUUAUCCGGAUUUACUGGGUGUAAAGGGAGCGCAGACGGAACUGCAAGUCUGAUGUGAAAGCCCGGGGCUCAACCGCGGGACCGCAUCGGAUACUGUGGAUCUGGAGUGCCGGAGGGGCAAGCGGAAUUCCUGGUGUAGCGGUGAAAUGCGUAGAUAUCAGGAGGAACACCGGCGGCGAAGGCGGCUUGCUGGACGGCAACUGACGUUGAGGCUCGAAAGCGUGGGGAGCAAACAGGAUUAGAUACCCGCGUA
rnacentral:rRNA from 1 species